ACUUACUAGCCAUGUGAACUUGGGCAAGUGACCUAAUCCUCUGCAUUUCAUCUCUAAAUUGGGGAGAAUAGAAGCAUCUACUUCAUGUAGUAGCCAGGAUUAGAAGAGUGAUGAAGCUAUACUUGUUUCAUUUUCCAGAUGGGGCCACUUGAGGGAAAAGACCUACCCAAGGGCACAUAAUCUGUACAUGAGAGAGAGCCAGAUGUAACAGACUGAGUACUGGACUUGGGGUUAAACAGACUGUGAAUCUUUCCACCCCAUUGGGAGGAAUAACUGGGCCCUGGAUAGAAUGUGAUGAAUGUAUAUUCUUAAUGAGAAGUGGAAAUAAUUUGUGGUUGAGAGCUGUGCCUCAGAUCAGAGUGACAGGAUACAUGGCUAGGCUAUAUUUUCCAGCAGAUUAAGAGCUGCGGCCCAAGACUCUGAAAUAUGAAGAAAAAAGGAGAAGAUGACAGCAUAUCUUUUUAAAGAAAUAUUUUCCAGCCAAAUGGUGUAGCAGAGGACUUCCAGGAAUUUGUUCUUGUUCUGUAUCAAAGGUGAAGAGUUCGUAGCCUUCAAGGAAACAAGAAACCAUGGGAUGGAGUGAAGGAAGGUGGCCUGGAACCAGCUGCUGAGCCUCUCUGAGCCCCAGUUUCCUCGUCUCUAAAAUGGGGCUGAUCUCCUCUCCCUCAGACUGUUGUUGCAGGAAUUAAAACAGGUGUUGAGUGGGAAAGCAUCAGUCCCAUAGCAAAUGGCCCCUGAGUAGUAGGAUCUGAGUUCUGGUUCUGGUCCUGCUGGGGUAUGGCUGGUUGAGAGGUCAAAGAGGUAAUUAAAGGGAUUGCCAGCUUCAUUAUUGGGAGCUGAGAUUCCAUUUUAGACCAAGAGUGUGACCAAGGUGGUAACCUUAACAUUUCAUUUCUUCAUAUUUAUUUAUUGAGCCGAUAUUUUUCAAG
rnacentral:lncRNA from 1 species